rnacentral:rRNA from 1 species
GACGAACGCUGGCGGCGUGCUUAACACAUGCAAGUCGAGCGAGGCUCCUUCUUUCGGGAGGGAUGCCCUAGCGGCGAACGGGUGAGUAACACGUGGGCAGCCUGCCUCUAGCACUGGGAUAAACUCCGGGAAACCGGGGCUAAUACCGGAUACGACCUCUGAGGGCAUCCUCCGGAGGUGGAAAGCAUUGUGGCCAGAGAUGGGCCCGCGGCCUAUCAGCUUGUUGGUGAGGAACGGCCCACCAAGGCGACGACGGGUAGCCGGCCUGAGAGGGCGACCGGCCACACUGGGACUGAGACACGGCCCAGACUCCUACGGGAGGCAGCAGUGGGGAAUCUUGCGCAAUGGGCGAAAGCCUGACGCAGCGACGCCGCGUGAGGGAUGACGGCC